UCAAGAGUUUCCCGGCCUGCCCCACCAUGCCCUUUUCCUUCCCACUUAGCCUUAGCUAAUGCUACAACUCAGGUUUUCAUUCUUCUCAUUAUUCAGAAUGCAUGAUGGAAUGUAACUAGUCUGGACCAAUAGGUCUCGUAAGGAAGAAUUCCUGGAUUAAAGAGCAUGAAGAGGCAGUUACGUGAUUCUCCUCCCUGAAGACAGACAGUGCCUGAUGUAUGGAGUCACCUGCUUCAACAAUUAUCCAAUGACUUGCUUGAGUCAUGUUUUCCAGCAUCAGCAAACAAAGGCAAGGCGGAAGGCCAGGAGAAGCUCAACCAGGACUAGCCCUUGGCAGCUUUUGCAUCUCUCCUCGUAUGACAGCCGUGAACAGCAACAGCAGUAGACAGUCAAGAGCAGC